GCUUGGCUGGACCAGCCGGCGAGCCAGGCUCCCGGGCGCCACCUGGUGGCCUUUCUGGUGGCGAGGGGUGCCCGAGGUGCUCACCUCCAGAAUCCAGCCACCACUUUUUGAGGAAGCCCAGGCCACAUGGAGAGGCCACAUGUAGGAGUUCCAGCCCACAGCACCAGCUAAGAUUUCAGCUGCUCCAGCCAGUGUUGACUGCCAGACAAGUGAGUGAAGAAGAUGAUUCCAGCCUUCAGAAUUCCAACUGAGGACCCAGACAUUAAGAAGCAGAGAUAAUGAGGUGGAGGUGGAGGUCCGUGCUGGGACUCGGGGCCAGCAUCUCCUGCUACAGGGCUGCGUGUCUGGACCAGGAGGAAACACCCAGUUGGCGUGCUGCAUUCACGGAGAACAGUUUGUUCCGUGUGAGGCUGGGCCGACUGACUCCACAGCCGCCCGCACAGCCCUGGCAGGACCAGAAAAUGCUAGUCAACCUGCACGGAGUGACGACUGCUCAGACAGGUCCGGGCCGGCAACGCUCACCUCCACACAAAGACCUAGGAGAGGGGAAAAAAUAUCUGUUGGCUAAAUGGGAAAGAACAAGCCUUCAAUUAAUGACUCCCUGGAGGCUGUGGGGGUGAGGAUUGGUGGGGAGAUGGCUAGAGAGUAAAAAUUUCCACCCGCAGUGGUUGUGAAAAUCUGCCGGGAUAUCCUAGCAGAGGGAGACAGACAUCAAGCAAAAAUAAACAAGCAAGAUGGUUCAAAUGAUGAUAGGGACCCUGAAGAAAGUGAAACGAUAUGAUGUAAUAAGGGGGUGACAGGAGGUGCCCGGCUACAAAGGAUGGUCAGGGAGGGCCUCUUUGAGGAGGUGGCAUUUGAGGCAAAGCCUGACAGACAAGGCGGACUGAGUUAUGGAAAGAUUUAGGGCGGGGUUCUCAACCUCGGCACUAUGGACAUCGGGGGCAGGAUAAUUCUCUGCUGUGGGGACCAUCCUGUGCCUUGUGGGGUGAUGAGCGGCCUCCCUGGCCUCUACCCAGAUGCCAGUAACACCCUCCUCCCCCUCCAAGAAGUAAGAACCAAAAAAUGGCUCCAGACAGUGCCAACUUCCCUUGGGAGGCAAAAUCCCCCUGUGGAGAUCCACUGAUCCAGAGGAAGGGCGUUCCCAGAAGAGGGAACAGUAAGCGUGAAGGUCCUGAGAUGGGAACCCGCUCAGCAGGUUUUCUGGGAACAGAAGUUUCUAGAAAUAAAAAUUUU
rnacentral:lncRNA from 1 species